CAGCUUAUCUGCAUGUGCGGAGUUCCAGUUGAGAGAGUUUCCCUGAACCGGAUGAAAACACACCGACUCUGCUUUGUGGCCCAUCUCUAUAUUUUGUUGAAAGCUGAGAGGGACACGAAGCACAGCUUACGUCCGGUUAUGAGCAGUGGGUUCUCUUCCAAAUAA
rnacentral:lncRNA from 14 species